rnacentral:other from 1 species
UAACCCCUGCUAUGUUUGUGGGAUGGAGUUAUUAUUGAGUCAACACCAAAUGAUAAGGGAGUCCAAACAUCCUUCCGUGGAUAGAAUGUCCCGCCUCCCGGGGAACCGGAAAAGCCGGGAACUUUAGAAGCGGUCGUGAGGAUACCCACCUGGGCGAAAAAGGACUCUGAAUAAUCUGUCCCACGGCAAUGUGGGGGUUAU